CCUACGGGAGGCAGCAGUGGGGAAUAUUGGACAAUGGGCGCAAGCCUCGAUCCAGCCAUGCCGCGUGAGUGAUGAAGGCCCUAGGGUUGUAAAGCUCUUUUGUGCGGGAAGAUAAUGACGGUACCGCAAGAAUAAGCCCCGGCUAACUUCGUGCCAGCAGCCGCGGUAAU
rnacentral:rRNA from 1 species